rnacentral:rRNA from 1 species
GAUGAACGCUGGCGGCGUGCCUAAUACAUGCAAGUCGAGCGAACGGACGAGAAGCUUGCUUCUCUGAUGUUAGCGGCGGACGGGUGAGUAACACGUGGAUAACCUACCUAUCAGACUGGGAUAACUUCGGGACACCGGAUCUAAUACCGGAUAAUAUUUUGAACCGCAUGGUUCAAAAGUGAAAGACGGUCUUGCUGUCACUUAUAGAUGGAUCCGCGCUGUAUUAGCUAGUUGGUAAGGUAACGGCCUACCAAGGCAACGAUGCAUAGCCGACCUGAGAGGGUGAUAGGCCACACGGGAAGUGGAACACGGUCCAGACUCCUACGGGAGGCAGCAGUAGGGAAUCUUCCGCAAUGGGCGAAAGCCUGACGGAGCAACGCCGCGUGAGUGAUGAAGGUCUUCGGAUCGUAAAACUCUGUUAUUAGGGAAGAACAUAUGUGGAAGGAACUGUGCACAGCGUGACGGUAACUAAUCAGAAAGCAACGGCUAACUACGUG